CCUACGGGAGGCAGCAGUGAGGAAUAUUGGUCAAUGGCCGGAAGGCUGAACCAGCCAUGCCGCGUGAAGGUCAGUGCCCUAUGGGCGUUAAACUUCUUUUGUGCGGGAGCAAUAAUGGUCACGUGUGGCCAGACGAGAGUACUGUACGAAUAAGCAUCGGCUAACUGCGUGCCAGCAGCCGCGGUAAUAAGGGGGAUGCAAGCGUUAUCCGGAUUUAUUGGGUUUAAAGGGUGCGUAGGCUGUGAGGUAAGUCAGCGGUGAAAUGCCCCCGGUCAACGGGGUGAAGUGCCAUUGAUACUGGCUUGCUGGAAUGCGGGUGCAGUAGGCGGAAUGUGUGGUGUAGCGGUGAAAUGCAUAGAUAUCACACAGAACACCGAUUGCGAAGGCAGCUCACGAAUCCGCGAUUGACGCUGAUGCACGAAAGCGUGGGUAUCAAACAGGAUUAGAUACCCUUGUAGUC
rnacentral:rRNA from 1 species